rnacentral:rRNA from 1 species
CCUACGGGAGGCUGCAGUGGGGAAUAUUGGACAAUGGGCGAAAGCCUGAUCCAGCCAUGCCGCGUGUGUGAAGAAGGCCUUCGGGUUGUAAAGCACUUUCAGUGGGGAAGAAAGCCUUGGGGCUAAUACCCUCGAGGAAGGACAUCACCCACAGAAGAAGCACCGGCUAACUCCGUGCCAGCAGCCGCGGUAAUACGGAGGGUGCGAGCGUUAAUCGGAAUUACUGGGCGUAAAGCGCGCGUAGGCGGUCUGAUAAGCCGGUUGUGAAAGCCCCGGGCUCAACCUGGGAACGGCAUCCGGAACUGUCAGGCUAGAGUGCAGGAGAGGAAGGUAGAAUUCCCGGUGUAGCGGUGAAAUGCGUAGAGAUCGGGAGGAAUACCAGUGGCGAAGGCAGCCUUCUGGACUGACACUGACGCUGAGGUGCGAAAGCGUGGGUAGCAAACAGGAUUAGAUACCCUAGUAGUC